GAGCUCACUUCAGCAGCACAUAUACUAAAACUGGAAUGAUACAGAGAAGAUCAGCAAUGCCUUACACAGAUUAGCAAUGCCCUUGCACAUGUAGCAGGCUUAAAUAUUAUAUGAUUUUUCUUAUUUUU
rnacentral:snRNA from 1 species